CUAUACAGCAAGAAGAAAACACUUCUGGAAAGUUCUUAUUAAAUAUUCUCCCUUUUCACCUUUAAGUGACAAUGGCAAUGUGGGUGAUUAUUACAUUUCUCUUCACUGCUCAUGAGUUUGUGUGCUGGGGACAGGACAAAGUCGAACAAGCUUCAAGACAAAUGACUGCAGAUGAAGCAGCUCAAGUUACUCUGCUGUGCAAUUACUCCACCAGUUUUCCUAACCCUUAUCUCUUCUGGUACAAACAGCUACCAAAAAGAACACCAACAUUCAUUCUGAGUGAAUUUACAGUUGGUAAAGGAAAAAUUGAGGAUGAAUACAAAGACAGAUUUUCUGCAACACUGGACUCCAAAUCAAAAACAGUUCCUCUGAUGAUCAAGAAUCUGCGUGUGUCUGACUCUGCUGUGUACUACUGUGUGUUUGUAAGAGCGUUCAAGAGACUGAAAUAA